rnacentral:misc_RNA from 1 species
AAUGCGAUAAGUAAUGUGAAUUGCAGAAUUCAGUGAAUCAUCGAAUCUUUGAACGCACAUUGCGCCCGCCAGUGUUCUGGCGGGCAUGCCUGUCCGAGCGUCAUUUCAACCAUCAAGCCCCCGGGCUUGUGUUGGGGACCUGCGGCUGCCCGCAGGCCCUGAAAACCAGUGGCGGGCUCGCUGUCACACCGAGCGUAGUAGCAAUCACCUCGCUCAGGGCGUGCUGCGGGUUCCGGCCGUUAAACAGCCUUACAAAACCCAAGGUUGACCUCGGAUCAGGUAGGAAGACCCGCUGAACUUAAGC